AGAGAGAAGGCAGGCAGAGCAGGAAGGACUCAGGAAAGUUUGGUUGAAGUAGCCCCAGACCUCCUCUCGCUACCGGCUCCCAGCCAAGCCGAGCGCGGCGGCAGCAGGAGCCUUGGCAGCCUCGCCCGGGGGACGGCGCGGAGCACGCUGACGUCAGCCUGCAGAUGUGCCCCGGCCCGGCGGCAGCGCCGCGCAUGCGCGCCGCGUCACGUGGCGGCGGGGGGGGCAGGGGUACAGUCGGGGUAACGCGAAGCGGCGGGGAGGGAUGAGGAGAGGGUGCUGUGCUCUGUCGGUGCGCCCACCGCGCCGAAGGGGGAACUGAACGGGGCUUUAACGGCCCUUGCCUCCGGCUGUGCUGUAGAGCAGUGCGGUGCGGCGUAGUGUGGUGUGGCAUGGCGCGGUGUGUGGGAGCCCGACUGGGCCCCGGGUGGGCGUUGCUGGCGGCGGGCCGGGCAGCCUCCUCUGCCCGGUGAGGCGCCGAGGAAGCCGGCAGAGGCCUCCCGCCGGCCUUCGACCCGGGCGUUACCGCGGAUUUAAUCACAAAGCAGCUCUCAUGUGCCGUGAGGGCGCGGUGCCGGAGAGGCAGUUUGGGGAACGGGGACUUUCGGGGCCGGGACGGGAGGAGGCCUCCCCAGGGGGGCCCGCGUAGCGCUGCGGCUUUAUUUGCAGCGCUGAGCCCGGGUCAGAGCGGGUUCACGCUGCUGCUAGCAGGCCGCCCGAGUGCUGCGCUUCUUCGUGCCGCGUCGGAGGCAGCGGGGUGGUGCCGGUGAGCCGUUAACGCGCGGGAAGGGUCCCACAGUGCAGCCGCUGCGGGGCGCGUCCGAGGACUGGAGGGCAGCCACGGCCCUCGGGGCCUGAAGGCCGGUCUUGAGGUGGCACUCACAGCGACAGAACCACGGUCCGCUUAGUUCUGUCUGAGCGUAGCGUUGCUGCGGUUCAGGUCUAAGUUCUGCACGUAAACAGGUGACGUUCCCAUCAGCAGGAGCUUCAGCGGAGUUAGCACAACCCUGGAGAAAGAUAAAGUUGUUCAUUAGAUCUCAGUGAUCUGAACAAUCUGUAAGACUUAUGGAGAAAAAAGUUGGGACAAGUUGUACAGUGUGUGGAAAUGCAUGUGGAAAAUCUCUAUGGAAAAAUCAGCCUAGUCUUAUACCUCCUUAUGAAAAUACCGAGUUGGACCCUCGUGGGUCCUGUCCGACUCAGCAUAUUCUGUGAUUCUGCGAUGCCAUUAACUACCUGUUGUUUUAGCCUGAUGUUUCUACUGAAGGUCUACACACAGCAUUUUUAUUUCUCAUUUUUGAACGUCUGUCCACAGAUACGUCUGUCUGACUUGCAGAGAUUUUCGGCUUUGCACAUGAAUGGAUACUCUUCUAUUGAGAUCUUUCUUUAGAGGGAUGAAACAAAUUAACGGGAAAAGAAUACCAGUGAAUUCACUUUGUGUGCCAUCUCCGCGAAGUUUUUUUCUGAGACUCCAUGGAAAAAAAAAGAAAUGCAGAAGCCUGAAGUGUCCCACGCAAAACUCUCAGAAUAGGCAGGGCAUCCCGGCAUUCCUCACGCUCAGCUCCGCGGUAAAACUGCACACCAAUCUGUUACCAGCUACCACAGUUUCUUACCAAAGGUGCCGUGUAAAAUAAGUUACUAAAAAUCUUCUGAAGUCCAUCUGUCUUUCAGAAAAUAAAGCAU
rnacentral:lncRNA from 1 species